rnacentral:rRNA from 1 species
UACGGAAGGCAGCAGUGAGGAAUAUUGGUCAAUGGGUGCAAGCCUGAACCAGCCAUCCCGCAUGAAGGACGACUGCCCUAUGGGUUGUAAACUCUUUUGUAUAGGGAUAAACCUACCUCGUGAGGGUAGCUGAAGGUACUAUACGAAUAAGCACCGGCUAACUCCGUGCCAGCAGCCGCGGUAAUACGGAGGGUGCAAGCGUUAUCCGGAUUUAUUGGGUUUAAAAGGGUCCGUAGGCGGACUUAUAAGUCAGUGGUGAAAAGCCUGUCACUUAACGAUAGAACUGCCAUUGAUACUGUAAAGUCUUGAGUAUAUUUUGAGGUAGCUGGAAUAAGUAGUGUAGCGGUGAAAUGCAUAGAUAUUACUUAGAAACACCAAAUUGCGAAAGGCAGGUUACCAAAGAUAUAAACUGACGCUGAGGGACGAAAAGCGUGGGGAGCGAAACAGGGAUUAGAUACC